rnacentral:rRNA from 1 species
GACGAACGCUGGCGGCGUGCUUAACACAUGCAAGUCGAACGGAAAGGCCCUGCUUUUGUGGGGUGCUCGAGUGGCGAACGGGGGAGUAACACGUGAGUAAACUGCCCUUGACUUUGGGAGAACUUCAGGAAACUGGGGCGAAUACCGGAUAGGAGCUCCGGCUGCAUGGUGGGUGUUGGAAAGUUUCGGCGGUGGUGGAUGGACUCGGGGCUUUUCGGUUUGUUGGUGGGGUAGUGGCUUACCAAGGCUUUGACGGGUAGCCGGCCUGCGAGGGUGACCGGCCACAUUGGGACUGAGAUACGGCCCAGACUCCUACGGGAGGCAGCAGUGGGGAAUAUUGCACAAUGGGCGGAAGCCUGAUGCAGCAACGCCGCGUGCGGGAUGACGGCCUUCGGGUUGUAAACCGCUUUCGCCUGUGACGAAGCGUGAGUGACGGUAAUGGGUAAAGAAGCACCGGCUAACUACGUG